UUCAACACGCUGAUGGCAGUCACAGGGGGCCUGUGUCACAGUGCCAUCUCCAGACUCAAGGACUCCCAUGCCCACCUGAGCCCUGACAGCACCAAGGCCCUCCUGGAACUCACUGAGCUCCUUGCCUCCCACAACAACUACGCCCGCUACCGCCGCACCUGGGCUGGCUGCGCGGGCUUCCGGCUGCCUGUACUGGGCGUGCACCUCAAGGACCUGGUGUCCCUGCAUGAGGCACAGCCCGACAGGUUGCCUGACGGCCGCCUGCACCUACCCAAGCUGAACAACCUCUACCUGCGGCUGCAGGAGCUGGUGGCCCUCCAAGGGCAGCAUCCACCCUGCAGCGCCAAUGAGGAUCUGCUGCACCUCCUCACGCUCUCCCUGGACCUCUUCUACACGGAAGACGAGAUCUAUGAGCUUUCUUAUGCCCGGGAGCCGCGUUGUCCCAAGAGUCUGCCACCCUCCCCCUUCAAUGCACCUCUGGUGGUGGAGUGGGCCCCUGGUGUGACACCCAAGCCGGACAGGGUCACACUGGGUCGGCAUGUGGAGCAGCUGGUGGAGGUAAGGAGGGGAGGGUGGCCCGGCCACCAGCAGCCAGGAGGGAAGACAUCUGUAGAACCCUGAGCCUGGAGGCGGGGACUUAUGGCCAUGGGGAUCAUAUUUCAACAACUGGGCCUUAUCUGCUUCCCCACACUCCUCUGAAGUCUGUGUUCAAGAAUUAUGACCCUGAAGGCCGAGGAACAAUCUCUCAGGAGGACUUUGAGCGACUCUCGGGCAAUUUUCCCUUUGCUUGCCAUGGGCUUCACCCACCCCCACGCCAGGGGAGAGGAUCCUUCAGCAGAGAGGAGCUGACAGGGUACCUGCUCCGGGCCAGCGCCAUCUGCUCCAAGUUGGGCCUGGCCUUCCUGCACACCUUCCAUGAGGUUACCUUCCGAAAGCCUACCUUCUGCGACAGCUGCAGUGGCUUCCUCUGGGGUGUCACCAAGCAAGGCUACCGCUGUCGGGAGUGCGGGCUGUGUUGCCACAAACACUGCAGAGACCAGGUGAAGGUAGAAUGUAAGAAGAGGCCAGGGGCCAAGGGCGAUGCAGGACCCCCCGGAGCUCCUGUCCCAUCCACACCAGCUCCCCAUGCCAGCUGUGGCUCCGAGGAAAAUCACUCCUACACGCUAUCCCUGGAACCUGAGACUGGGUACCAGCUUCGCCAUGCCUGGACCCAGACUGAAUCCCCACACCCUUCCUGGGAAACAGAUACGGUCCCCUGCCCGGUGAUGGACCCACCAUCAACUGCAUCCUCCAAGCUGGAUUCCUAGACAUCUCUUGGUCUCCUCUCUUCCUCACUCCCUUCCCCCAGUCAGUCCUGAGUCCUGUCGUCAGACUCUGGCAGGGCUCCCAGAGGUAGGCCUCCAGAGGCAUCCGCCUUCCCAUCCACACUGCCUUUAGUGGUACGUCCAUCAUCUUUUUCCCUGGAAGUGACUUUCCUCUUUUGCAUCCUGGUGGAUGCUAAUCCUGCUCCCUUUCCCUGCACUUAGUAUCUGUGCGGCUGUGUGUUGGAUACAUUUAGACUCAGGCCUCAUUCUACCACCUCCCUACAUCUCCAUUUCUUUUUUUUUUUUGAGACAGAGUCUUGCUCUGUCACCCAGGCUGGAGUGCAAUGAUGCAAUCUCAGCUCACUGCAACUUCCGCCUCCUGGGUUCAAGUGAUUCUUCUGCCUCAGCCUCCCAAGUAGCUGGGAUUACAGGCACGCGCCACCAUGCCCGGCUAAUUUUUGUAUUUUUAGUAGAGACGGGGUUUCCCCAUGUUGGCCAAGAUGGUCUCAAACUCCUGACCUCAUGAUCCACCAGCCUCAGCCUCCCAAAGGGCUGGGAUUACAGGCGUGAGCCAACGCGCCCAGCUCCUGCUUUUCUGCAUAGAACGUUCUCCCUCUGACAGCCUAUACUUUUUCCCUCUUUAUCUCGUUGAACGUCUGUCUUUCCUCAACAGGAGCAUCAACUCCAGGAGAACAGGGAUUUCUAUCAAUGUCAUUCACUGCUGCAUCCCCAGUGCCUAGAACAGGGCUGGCAGGUGGUAGGCGCCUGACAGAUGCUUGUCUGAUGCCUGAAUGUCUCCUUACCCAUGCCCACGGCGCAGGAUAGAUGUGCUAUAGGGCAAAGAACUUUGAGGGUCGAGCAGCAGGGGCCCAUUCAGUCCCAGGGAGCAGAGACCCCCCCCCCACCCCUUCACAAACCCCAACACCCCUGACUUGGCCCCCACAGAGAGAGGUCCUACAGCUGUCAUAAAUUAAAUUUAUUCUCUGGAG
rnacentral:sRNA from 1 species